GUCUAUGGCUAUGCUACACUGAACAAGCCCGAUCCUGUCUGAUCUAGGAAGCUAAGCAGGGUCGGGCCUGGUUAAUACUUGGAUGGGAGACCACCUACGAAGACCAGGUGCUGUAGGCA
rnacentral:rRNA from 1 species